GCCUUUGUGGUGUAAUGGUUAGCAGAUUGGGCGCGUAUUCGAGAGGUCCAGGUUCGAGUCCCGGUGAAGGCA
rnacentral:tRNA from 1 species